AAGGAGUCUAACAUAUAUGCGAGUUCUCGGGUGGCAAACCCGUGGGCGGAAUGAAAGUAACGCGGUGGGAGUUAACGCACCAUCGACCGAUCCCUACUCGUUGGAGAUUUGAGUGAGAGCAUAUCUGUUGGGACCCGAAAGAUGGUGAACUAUGCCUGCAUAGGGUGAAGCCAGAGGAAACUCUGGUGGAGGCUCGUAGCGAUUCUAACGUGCAAAUUGAUCGUCAAAUUUGGGUAUAGGGGCGAAAGACUAAUCGAACCAUCUAGUAGCUGGUUCCCUC
rnacentral:misc_RNA from 1 species